GUGCUGGCUUCAGCAGCACAUAUGCUAAAAUUGGAACGAUACAGAGAUUAGCAGUGCCUCUGAGCAAGGAUGACACACAAAUUCAUGAAUCAUUCCAUAGAGAG